rnacentral:rRNA from 1 species
GCAGCUAACGCGUGAAGUUGACCGCCUGGGGAGUACGGUCGCAAGAUUAAAACUCAAAGGAAUUGACGGGGACCCGCACAAGCGGUGGAUGAUGUGGAUUAAUUGGAUGCAACGCGAAAAACCUUACCUACCCUUGACAUGUCAGGAACCCCGCUGAGAGGUGGGGGUGCUCGAAAGAGAGCCUGAACACAGGUGCUGCAUGGCUGUCGUCAGCUCGUGUCGUGAGAUGUUGGGUUAAGUCCCGCAACGAGCGCAACCCUUGUCAUUAGUUGCUACGAAAGGGCACUCUAAUGAGACUGCCGGUGACAAACCGGAGGAAGGUGGGGAUGACGUCAAGUCCUCAUGGCCCUUAUGGGUAGGGCUUCACACGUCAUACAAUGGUACAUACAGAGGGCCGCCAACCCGCGAGGGGGAGCUAAUCCCAGAAAGUGUAUCGUAGUCCGGAUUGUAGUCUGCAACUCGACUACAUGAAGUUGGAAUCGCUAGUAAUCGCGGAUCAGCAUGUCGCGGUGAAUACGUUCCCGG